rnacentral:rRNA from 1 species
UACCAGACUCCUACGGGAGGCAGCAGUGAGGAAUAUUGGUCAAUGGGCGCGAGCCUGAACCAGCCAAGUCGCGUGAGGGAUGACGGUCCUACGGAUUGUAAACCUCUUUUGCCGGGGAGCAAGCGUGCGUUCGUGAACGCGCGUCGAGAGUACCCGGAGAAAAAGCAUCGGCUAACUCCGUGCCAGCAGCCGCGGUAAUACGGAGGAUGCGAGCGUUAUCCGGAUUUAUUGGGUUUAAAGGGUGCGUAGGCGGGCUUUUAAGUCAGCGGUAAAAAUUCGGGGCUCAACCCCGUCCGGCCGUUGAAACUGGGGGCCUUGAGUGGGCGAGAAGAAGGCGGAAUGCGUGGUGUAGCGGUGAAAUGCAUAGAUAUCACGCAGAACUCCGAUUGCGAAGGCAGCAUACCGGCGCGCAACUGACGCUCAUGCACGAAAGCGUGGGUAUCGAACAGGAUUAGAUACCCUUGUA